rnacentral:ncRNA from 1 species
GGUUGGGCAGGAACUGCUUCAAGAUGAUUGGCUUAUUGGGUGGGGAGCU